GCACCAGAUAAUGAAUGGCAUACAGAAAACAAGAGAAGGAGUCAGACUCGUUAUGGAAAAUGAAAGUGGUACUGAAUUUAUCUUAACACUUUUGGACAACGCAGGCUCUGUGGCAAACAAGAAGCAACUUAAAAUAUUUCAGCAGUAUCUUCAAGAAGCUGUAGAUGAAGCAUACAGACAGAAGGUAGAAAAAAAAGCUGAAACUACAGUAACUGCACAACAGUUUCAUAUGAUGAUCCCAGGAUAUUUUGCUAAAAGGCAGCGAAUGCAAACUUCAUCAAAUCCACUGAUGGACAGUAUGGACCAAAUGCUUAAGAUAUGUAGAAAUUACUUAGAGCUGAAGAAAAAUGUAUUUACAGGGGAAACAAAGGAAACAGAAACCAAACUGGAAUAUACAUUGAAGAAUUUAAAAUCCCGGCAAAACAUUCAUGAUCCUGUUGGAAUGAUGACAGUUCUCCUGUUGCUGUUGCUUUGCAUAGUAGCAGUGUAUAAAGUAUGUUACUGGAUAUAUACUUGGAUAAUAUGGAUAUUUUAAGAUAAAUACACAUGUAUAACUUGAAUGUUUUCGGUCUGGGAACUCCAGGACAAGAUUGUUUGUGUCUGUUAAACCAUUUUUGUGUUGACUUAUUCAUAUGUCUUUAAUCAAUGUUCUGUAUUAAGCCUGGAUUGUGUAGGAGAGGUCAUUAUUUCUGUUGAAGUGCUACCACAUCUAAAAAAUAAUUAAUAAAAAUGAUUCUUGAUGUGAUUUUUAUGGUGUUUGUUUCUUCAUAUAUUUUAACUUUCUGCGUCCACAAUUACAAUAAGUCACAGAUUUUAUAGUGUGAAGUGUAAUCUAAGGUUUUGUUGUAGAUCAGAAGACAGUUACUGGUCUCAUUCAUUCAUCCUCUGCCCAAGGAGGGUGAAGAUUCACACAUUAAAUACUUACAGUAUGUACCUUCCAGGAGAUUUCAAAUAAAAUCACUGAAAAAAGGAGUG